rnacentral:rRNA from 1 species
UACUCCUACGGGAGGCAGCAGUGGGUAAUAUUGGACAAUGGGCGCAAGCCUGAUCCAGCCAUGCCGCGUGUGUGAAGAAGGCCUCCGGGUUGUAAAGCACUUUUGUUGGGGAAGAAACCGACCGGAUUAAUACUUCGGUGAAGACGUACCC